UAGCAGAUGCCUGAUGGAGCAGA
rnacentral:piRNA from 1 species